UAACACAUGCAAGUCGAGGGGCAGCAUGAACUUAGCUUGCUAAGUUUGAUGGCGACCGGCGCACGGGUGCGUAACACGUAUCCAACUUGCCCCAUACACGGGGAUAGCCUUUCGAAAGAAAGAUUAAUACCCGAUGCAGUGCGUUAUGGGCAUCCAUGAUGCACUAAAGGAGCAAUCGGUAUGGGAUAGGGAUGCGGACGAUUAGCUGGUUGGCGGGGUAACGGCCCACCAAGGCGACGAUCGUUAGGGGUUCUGAGAGGAAGGUCCCCCACACUGGAACUGAGACACGGUCCAGACUCCUACGGGAGGCAGCAGUGAGGAAUAUUGGUCAAUGGACGCGAGUCUGAACCAGCCAAGUAGCGUGAAGGACUACAGCCCUAUGGGUUUUAAACUUCUUUUGUAUGGGAAUAACGUGCGCCACGUGUGGCGCAGUGCAUGUACCAUACGAAUAAGCAUCGGCUAAUUCCGUGCCAGCAGCCGCGGUAAUACGGAAGAUGCGAGCGUUAUCCGGAUUUAUUGGGUUUAAAGGGAGCGUAGGCGGGCUGUUAAGUCAGCGGUAAAAUGUCAAGGCCCAACCUUGUCUUGCCGUUGAAACUGGCGGUCUUGAAUGCACACAAGGGGGAUGGAAUUCGUCGUGUAGCGGUGAAAUGCUUAGAUAUGACGAAGAACUCCGAUUGCGAAGGCAGUUCCCUGGAGUGCGAUUGACGCUGAGGCUCGAAAGUGCGGGUAUCAAACAGGAUUAGAUACCCUGGUAGUCCGCACCGUAAACGAUGAAUGCUGGUUUUUGGCGAUAUAAUGUCAGGAACUGAGGGAAACCAUUAAGCAUUCCACCUGGGGAGUACGCCGGCAACGGUGAAACUCAAAGGAAUUGACGGGGGCCCGCACAAGCGGAGGAACAUGUGGUUUAAUUCGAUGAUACGCGAGGAACCUUACCCGGGCUUGAAUUGCAGAGGACAGGCAUGGAGACAUGCCCUCCCUUCGGGGUCUCUGUGAAGGUGCUGCAUGGUUGUCGUCAGCUCGUGCCGUGGGGUGUCGGCUUAAGUGCCAUAACGAGCGCAACCCUUGCUGUCAGUUGCCAUCGGGUGAUGCCGGGCACUC
rnacentral:rRNA from 1 species